rnacentral:lncRNA from 1 species
UCGUAUGAAUCGAAGUUUCCAACAAAGAGUUAUAGGCAGCUCGGUAUCAAAAGGUCAGAAUCUCAGAAGUUGCACAGAUUCAAAUCGUUACGUCUAAACAGGAGAUAUAUCAAAUGCAAGGCUAGAACAAUUCAAAGUUCCUCAUAUUCAAAGCAAAUGUAGAGAUAAAAUUACAGUAAGGAAAGAUCAGGACACUUGCAAUAGGAAAGAUUAGAAAGCUUGCAAUAGGAAGGAUCGGAAUAC